rnacentral:lncRNA from 1 species
GUUAUGACUCAUUUGUGUAGUCUCAAUUCUGUCAAAUCAAUUUAUGUGCAUUAUGUUGCAUUUACUUUGCUUUGAUCUUUAUUUGAUGUAGCUUCCUUGCUUCAUUUGUUUUGGUGUUAAGGAAGAUUUGCAUUUUUUUUCUAGUAAGUGUUUUGUAUUUUUAUCAUUUACAGUGCCAUUAAUCUCCUUUUUUUUUCUUAUUUAGACUCUUACAAGUUUGUCUGUUUACAAUGGUAUCCUUCAAUACUCACCAAUUACCGGGAAUAAGGUGGAAUUACUGCUUGCUGGGUUGUUGGGAACGUCACCACAUCUUGAGCAACCCUGUGAACCUGGGCAGUCCUGUGAAUGGCGUCCACUGUGUGAAUCAGGAGAGAAAAGACUGAGGGCUGCUGACUUCGCUACCUAACAUCACCAAUGUGGAGGGACUCAAGAAGGAGACAAAAUGCUGUCUUUACAAAGCUUAAAAGUCUGUUAGAGACUCCAGGUGU